GAUGAAGAACGUAGCGAAAUGCGAUAAGUAAUGUGAAUUGCAGAAUUCAGUGAAUCAUCGAAUCUUUGAACGAACAUUGCGCCCGCCAGUAUUCUGGCGGGCAUGCCUGUUCGAGCGUCAUUACAACCCUCAGGCCCCCGGGCCUGGCGUUGGGGAUCGGCGGAGCCCCCCGUGGGCACACGCCGUCCCCCAAAUGCAGUGGCGGUCCCGCCGCAGCUUCCAUCGCGUAGUAGCUAACACCUCGCGACUGGAGAGCGGCGCGGCCACGCCGUAAAACACCCAACUCUUCUGAAGUUGACCUCGAAUCAGGUAGGAAUACCCGCUGAACUUAAGCAUAUCAAUAAGCGGAGGA
rnacentral:misc_RNA from 1 species